rnacentral:rRNA from 1 species
CUUCCAUCUGGAGAAUCUGGAGACAGGUGCUGCAUGGCUGUCGUCAGCUCGUGUCGUGAGAUGUUGGGUUAAGUCCCGCAACGAGCGCAACCCUUGCCUUUAGUUGCCAGCAGUUCGGCUGGGCACUCUAAAGGGACUGCCGGUGUUAAACCGGAGGAAGGUGGGGAUGACGUCAAGUCCUCAUGGCCUUUAUGACCAGGGCUACACACGUACUACAAUGGCCGAUACAAAGGGCAGCGACACUGCGAGGUGAAGCCAAUCCCGUAAAAUCGGUCUCAGUCCGGAUUGGAGUCUGCAACUCGACUCCAUGAAGUUGGAAUCGCUAGUAAUCGUGGAUCAGCAUGCCACGGUGAAUACGUUCCCGGGCCUU